GCCGGGGUGGCGGAACUGGCAGACGCACAGGACUUAAAAUCCUGCGGUGAGUGAUCACCGUUACGGGUCGAUUCCGGGUCUCGGCUCCA
rnacentral:tRNA from 1 species